rnacentral:rRNA from 1 species
GUGAGUCAUCGAAUCUUUGAACGCACCUUGCGCCCCUUGGUAUUCCGAGGGGUGCACCCGUUUGAGUGUCGUGAACACCCUCAACCUUCUUGGUUUAUCGACCGGGAAGGCUUGGACUUUGGAGGUUUUGUUGCUGGCCUCGUUUGAAGCCAGCUCCUCCUAAACGAAUUAGUGGGGUCCGCCGUGCCGACCCUCGACGUGAUAAGUACGCUUCUACGUCUUGGGGUUUCGCACUGUCGCCUGCUUCCAACCGUCUUUGAAUGAAGACAAUCUUAUAGACCUUGACCUCAAAUCGGGUGAGACUACCCGCUGAACUUAAGCAUAUCAAUAAGCGGAGG